rnacentral:rRNA from 1 species
UACGUAGGGUGCGAGCGUUGUCCGGAAUUACUGGGCGUAAAGAGCUUGUAGGCGGUUUGUCGCGUCUGCUGUGAAAUUUCGGGGCUCAACCCCGAACUUGCAGUGGGUACGGGCAGACUAGAGUGUGGUAGGGGAGACUGGAAUUCCUAGUGUAGCGGUGAAAUGCGCAGAUAUCAGGAGGAACACCGAUGGCGAAGGCAGGUCUCUGGGCCAUAACUGACGCUGAGAAGCGAAAGCAUGGGGAGCGAACAGG